rnacentral:rRNA from 1 species
AUGGUUCUGAUUGAAAGAUGGUUCGGCUAUCACUUUUGGAUGGACCCGCGGCGUAUUAGUUAGUUGGUGAGGUAAAGGCUCACCAAGACGAUGAUACGUAGCCGAACUGAGAGGUUGAUCGGCCACAAUGGGACUGAGACACGGCCCAUACUCCUACGGGAGGCAGCAGUAGGGAAUCUUCCACAAUGGGCGAAAGCCUGAUGGAGCAACACCGCGUGAGUGAAGAAGGGUUUCGGCUCGUAAAACUCUGUUGUUGGAGAAGAACGUAUGUGAUAGUAACUGAUCAUGUAGUGACGGUAUCCAACCAGAAAGCCACGGCUAACUACGUGCCAGCAGCCGCGGUAAUACGUAGGUGGCAAGCGUUAUCCGGAUUUAUUGGGCGUAAAGCGAGCGCAGGCGGUUUUUUAAGUCUGAUGUGAAAGCCCUUGGCUCAACCAAGGAAGUGCAUCGGAAACUGGAAAACUUGAGUGCAGAAGAGGACAGUGGAACUCCAUGUGUAGCGGUGAAAUGCGUAGAUAUAUGGAAGAACACCAGUGGCGAAGGCGGCUGUCUGGUCUGUAACUGACGCUGAGGCUCGAAAGCAUGGGUAGCGAACAGGAUUAGAUACCCUGGUAGUCCAUGCCGUAAACGAUGAAUGCUAGGUGUUGGAGGGUUUCCGCCCUUCAGUGCCGGAGCUAACGCAUUAAGCAUUCCGCCUGGGGAG